AUAUGGAAGCUCCUGGGCCAGGGAUGGAAACCAAGACAAAGCUGUGACCUACGCCACAGCUGCAGCAAUGGCAGAUCCUUAACCCACUGCACCGGGCUAGGGAUCAAACCAGCAAUGCCAGAGACAAGCCAGAUCAUUAAUCCACUGUGCCACGGCAGGAACUCCUGGUCUUCUCUCUUGAUUAGGAAAAGUUUAAGGUAACACCACUUUCAGGCCAUCAUUCUUGCUGAAAUCAUCUUUUAUGUUAGGGCCCAGAAAUCUGGCUGAGACAUAAGAAGAGGCUGAAUGAAGCUUACAUGUUGCAAUGGGAAUAGACAGGUAGGACCAAAUGCAAAAAGCUGGAAAGAGAGGAAUCUGUGUUUCUGAAUAUGGAAGGUUGGGGAGAAGGAGAAGUCAGAGACAUCUGCUUGAAUGUUUACAUGACUACUGUCCAUCUCAAUUGGAAUGAAAGAGCUGGAAGAGGGUUGAGGGGGGAGAGCACUGAGUAUAAUUUUGGUCUUGAGUUAGAAAACCAAGAAAAAAUUAACUCUGAACCAAAUGGUACCUUAGUUUUAUGAGGAAAUCAGCAUGACUGUUUCCCCAAUGGGUUAAGUAUGCCUUGUUCACUCCAUACCAAAGUUACAUUUAGCCAAAGUUGACUUUAAUAUCGCACAGAAAUCACUGGUCUGCUUCUUCCUGUUUGAGCCAAGCAGUUCCAAUAAACAUAUAGUCUGCUUUCUUCUGAAAUCUGACUAAACUGAGAACAAAAAAAUAAAAGGUGUUUAGAUCCACAAAGGCCAAGAGAAUGGGCUCCCUUUCUCGGGAGGCUAUGGAGCAAUGCUAACCAGCAAAAUGAGGGAAUGAUUCAAGAGGACAAUGUUGGGUUCUUGAAUUAAGGCACCCAGCACAGAAAAGAGGUGAAGGAAAUUCCUAGGAUGAUGAGAAUGGAUGAUAGCAACAAGCCUAAAGAAAAGCAGCUAGUAUAGCCUCGAGCUAGAAGUUACAAACAGGAGGAAAGUUCGGGGGGGUAGAUGGGGGUGUUUCUAAUGUAACCUCCAAUGAAUCUGUAGUCUUAUGCACCCAAGAAAAAGAGAAGAACUAGUAUGAUUAUAACACCAGCCAAUCUUUAUGAGUGCCCAAAGCUGAAGAGUCAAGUUAUAGCCGUCAAAGCUUACACAGAGGAGAAUAAACAAGGAGUUGAAGGCAACUGGCCUGGGGAGCUGGAAUCAAAAGUAAGGAAGAGGGCACCAGGAACUGCUCUACAAUUUAUUGUAAUAACAAUUCCAGAACAAUUUGCUCUUUUAAUCAUACAAACUAAUCAUACAAAUAAUUUUAACGAAAAUAAAAAUUUUAAAGAAAACGAAAAGGUGAGUAACCCACCCAGAGAACUUACUCAGAAGAAUAGAUUACAGCCACCCCACUGAUGGAACCCUUUAUUCAAUGAAUUCUAUCCUUCCACUCUGUUUCUGGCUAGCCUAGUGAUUUAGCAUAAAUUCUGAUCUCCCCUUCCUGGCAAAUCUUACUAGAGCAGGCUAAACAAUGGAGAACCCCUUGGAGGGACACAAGAAAGAUUUAUUUCCUGAAAACAGCUGAGCCACAGUCUCUCAUAGUAUGGGUGACAAAAACACACUUUAAAUCUCUAUUCAAAAUUAUGAUUUACAUUUUUGAUCCAAGUAUUCUGGUCAGUGUAAAUAAUUCUGGGAAUUAAAUCAGAGCUAGUUUGAACUGGAUAAGCAUUUGCUAAGUCACUGUAAGUUCUUAAGAAUAUGUGAAAGCCACGUUGUACACAAUUAAAAUAUUAAAUUACACAUGAAUAGAACCUCUUUGACUCUUUAAAAAAUAACACAUGGAAAUUUAUCUUCUUCCAUGAAGGGAUGUAAAAAGGCUGCCAAAAGGAAAAAGGGAAGAUUUUCAUUUGUAAAUACUGCCUCUAGUAUUAGAAAUCUAAAAUUAAAGAGAAGUAAUGCAACAUUAAGUCAACCAGUCCAAUACCCUUUAUUCGCAGAUAGAGGAGCAGAGGUCCAGGAAGGCAAAAUGACUUGCUUAGCACAAACAAACAAACAAACAAACAAAAACAAAAAACACUAUGGAAAGGCAGAGAAAAUGACCAAAACCUGACUUCCAAUCUAUUGUCAAUGCCCCUUAAGUGUGGUUCAGUUACCUUUGCUGACAGGACAUGCUAUUGCCAGGCUGGAGGAUGGGGCUCCUGGCACAAAGUGCCCAUGAAGGUGGGCUUUUCAACCAGGCAGCAAGUAAAGUGCAGAACAAGGGCUGAGCUAAUGCACUGCACACAAUGCGACUCAGACCUGUGUCAGGAGGAAAAUUCACAGGUUUUUCAAAAGACAGUAAAGUGCUUGGAAGCUUGUUUUAAAGGAUUGGAACGCUCCUACAUCUUUUCUGUUCCUUUCAUGUGCACAGUAAAAGAGCAGAGGUAUUCUAUUUCCAUGUAGGUUUUUGAGCGUGAGACCAAGAAAGCUACUGAUGUGAAUCUACUCUUCAGUGACACAGCACUUCAACAAGCCAUCACUAGCACAAGCCGGGAUGAUGGCCAUUUGACCCUCCUUCUUAGGUAUUUGACAUCAGCUUCAAGACAGCCUCUCCCCAAAUGUGAGUUUCAAACGUUGCUUGUAGACACGCUCCAAUGAAGGAAAUCAGCAGUUGCAAUGUGUACAUAUCCUCCACACUUUUUUCCAAUGUACCCUCUUGAACCAUAACUCUAGACCCUGGCCUUCCCCUCCCUCUGUGUCCCAAAGCAGAAGGGGGAAAAAAGCAUUCUUUUUUGUUAUUUAUCAGUGCUGGCUCAUUGCCCCUAUCUACCAAUUUCCCUGUCAUUCAGUAAGUGCUAAUAACUAUGUGUUUGAUACUUGCUUUAAAUUUCCUGGUUCUUGGGAAUGUUUCAUUCUUAAGGGUUUUUCUUCACCUCUAAGGUAAAUGAGCUUACCGUAGUCCAUUAAAAUUGUCAUUUCUGAGGACUGUGGACAAACUUUGCUAGGUAGUGUUUCACCCUUAUCUCUCUGUCUGAUCAGAGAGGAAGUCUUGCUAGUCCCUCUUCAGCUUGAAGCUGUUUGCUGGUCUCAUGAUUGCACAAAAGAAGAUGUGGUUCUUUCCACACCUGAAGGCAUUUGAGGUGCAAUUUGUGUGGUACUUACAAGCCCUGUUAAAAGGAAUGGCUGCCUAUUUUCUUAAUCUGUCUGUUUGCAUUUGUAGACAUUUAGAAUUCACAGUAAACAAGGCAAAGUGCAAAGGCUUUCACAGGUUUGCACUGGACAAUAACAGCUACUAGUAACAAAGAGAAGCUCUUUGCAAAUAUGUACUUUAUCAGCUGAUACAUGUGUGAGGAUAUUCUGGUACAGACCUUCUAAAAGGAUCAGAACUUACCAUUUCCACAGACAUAGAUUAAAAUGAACAUAUCUGGAAAAGGAUGUUUGAUCUUCUAGUUUCAAAUAUUCCAUCCUCACCAUUUGAAAAUAUGUAAUGUAUAGUAUACAAAUACAAAGUGCUAGCCUUGGAAAUGAGUGAUGGACAGUAAGAUAUACUGCAAAGAGUAAUUGAUUAAUGAGUCUCUAUAGAAUUUAUAUAGUGGAAAGAGCCUCACCUCUCUGUGACAGCUUAGUUGUUCUGUUUGAAAUUUGAGACGAAUUAGAGUUGAGUGAAGUACUCUUCAGCAGUAUGAUUUUAUUAUUUUACAAAUUUGUUUUAGAUGAAUGCCUUAAAUAUAUAAAAAAUUGAUGGACUCUUUAAUAAGAAGAUUAAACAGAUCAACAGAUGAGCCCUGAGAAUCUAUGCUGAUGUCAUGCUGCACAGGUGACUGUGAUGCCCAGCUUGCAAACACUCCUAACAUUCAUCAAUUCUGUCUGCCUUGCCCUUGACAAUUUGAGAUGGUUAAGUGCUUGCAAAAAAGGUAUUCUGCUAUUCACUGCUAUCUAUAGCUAUUAAAUUACAUAUGCAUAAGAGGGAAAGUUGAAAUUUUGUUCAAGGAUAAACUGGUUUGAUUCAUAUCUUUGUUACAGAAGCAGUUAUAGAAUAGAUUAAAAAUUUCUAAGGAAUAUUUCUUUAUGGAUCUCUUCAAAUGUUUUAGUAAAUAUUCUAUCAAAGUUCCAAAAUUAUGUGCCAGAAAACAUAGAACAGUUGACCUUGGCCUGGAAAACUUACAUGGCUGGAGUAAGCAUUCAACUAACAUCACUCUAAGCAUUUUGGUAACAUUUCUGCAAGCAACUUGAUUUUUGAACAGGAAUAUGAUUAAAACAUGAAAUAACAUGUUAAAUGAAGUUAUUUGGAAUUGCCUAUAAAAAUCCUAAAUUUUAUAUGCUUAAACAAUUAUUUAAUAGUCUUUAUCCUAAAAUCUUAUUUCCUAUCCAUUAUGUUCAUUUGUGUCUUUAGGGCUCUUUAUAACCACAAGGCUGACAGCUUAGAGGAAGACUCUUAACUGCGUUAAUGAGUAAAGGACUCAUAUCCAACACUUUAGCACUGAUUUAUUCAGUAAACAAAAGUAUACUGUGAAGUUACUAUGUGCUAAGCUCUGUAAAAAAGUUCUGGGAAUUCAAUAGUGGAUACAAUAGAUAUAAUAUGUAUUCCUCUGAGGGCACUAGAGAAAUUGAAUAUAUCUGGGUUGGGUUUUCAGGUUCUAGGAUCUAAAGUUCUUGAAGAGUAUAUUUGUACUGAUUUCUCACAAAGAUAUUUUAAAAAAAGACCUUGAAGGAUAACUAACAUAUGGGAUCCAUUAAAAUCAACUUACAUAUGGUUCCUCUCUAAGGAGGUAGUGUUUCACAACAAAUGAACAAAUUCUGCAAGAAAGAAUUUAAACUGUUCCCAAUAAUCUUACUAAUUAGGUGAAAUAGGCCAUAACAAUUAUCAAGAGGAAAAGUAUUGUACAUAAAGUCUGCCUGUUUCUCAUAAAGGAUGCUAGAUUUAUGGAUCCAGACUUUUGGUUAUUCCAGAAUAAAGAUAUGUUUGAAUUUUGAUGAAUUAUUUAAAUUAACUACAUUGAAUAGAAUUAGCAGAUCUAGUUAAGGAGCAUUCUGAGUCUACAAAUCAUCAGAUGACUAUCAUAGAGCUAGGAAAUCAGUAGAAAAAACUUAGUAAAAUAGAAAAGAAAUAUUAAGUGGAAAUUUGGUUAUUUAUUCAAUGAAUAUUUAUUGCCUUUCCACUAUAAACCGUGUACUAUACAAAGGUAUUGGGGAUAUAAAGAUGAAGACAAUUCUUCCCUCAAGGACUUUGAAGAUUAUAAAGUCCCUGAUAGAGGAAGAAUAGAUGAAAUUUGAUGUGCUGUGGACAAAUGAAACUUUGAGAAAAAAAUCCAGUCUUUCUAGUCUAAAGAACCAAAGGACAACAUUUGUUCAGGACAACAAGAGCCCAUGGUAAAAUAAGAGCAAAAUCUCAUAAAGUGAUCUAGAGAGAAAGAGCAACAAAUUCUGUUGACAAACUGCCCAAGUCUCCAUUUGACUACUGAACCACACAUGCUGAGCUAGAUUCCAAAUAAAAAUAAACCGAUCUGAUAUUUGAGCCAUCAUUCAAAAUGCAGAAUAUGGUGAUGUUUAAGUCCAAUUAAGUUAAUUUUUGAGGAAACACCCUUGAGGAUUAAAUAAAACAUAAUCCAACAAGUUUUUUGUUUUGUUUUGUUUCCUUUUUAGGGUCACACCCACAGCAUAUGGAGGUUCCCAGGCCAGGGGUCGAACCAGAGCCCUGGCACUGGCCUACACCACAGCUCACAGCAACACCAACCAUAUCCGUAACCCACUGAGAAAGUCCAGGGAUCUAACCUGCAACCUCAUGGUUCCUAGUCAGAUUUGUUUCUGCUGUGCCACAGUGGGAACUCCCUAAGACAAGUAUUUUUAAAGCCACAAUUGUAAGUGUUCAAAGACAUAAAGGAAAAUAUGCUCAUAAUCAAUAAAAACAUAGGAAAUAUCUGUAGAGAAACAGAAAUUAACCAAUAAAAGGACCAAGUGAAAAUUACAAAACUCAAAAAUAUAAUAUCUGAACAUUAAAAAAACAAGCACUGGAUACACUUAAUAAAAAAGUGAAAGUAACAGAGGAAAUAAAGAGUGAAUUUGAAGAUAGAUCAAUAGAAAACUGUCUGAUUUGAGGGAAAGAGAAAAAAGAUUGGAAAAAUGAAUAGCAUGUCAAGGGAGUAAUGGGACAAUUUCAAAAUAUCUAAGAUAUGAAUAAUUGAAAUCUCAAAAGAAUAGGAAAAUGUGAUAUAUAAAAAGAAUGAGCUGAAAACUGUCCAAAUGUAAUAAAAGUCAUAAAUUCAGUAAACUCAGUGAGCUCCAAACAGGAUAAAUACAAGGAAAACAUAUCUAAGCCAAUUAUAGUAAAACUGCUAAAUAUCAAAAAUAAAGAAAAUUUCUUGAAAGCAGCCAGAAAAAAAAAAAUUGCACAUUACAUAUGGUGGAGUAAUUUGAAUUACCACAGUCUUCUUUCAGAUAUUAUGGAGAAUAGGAGUUCCCUU
rnacentral:lncRNA from 1 species